UUCAUGCACCCGCUCUCUCUUAUCCCCCCUGAAAACGCACUCUCUCUCUCUCUUCCUCUCCAGACGGUACAAGAAAAUCUCUCGCUCUCUCCUUCCUCUCCAGCCGCACCAGUCAUCUCCAGACGCACCCUCCCAGGAAACAAUUGUUUGGUGGACAAAUUGCUUCUUAUUGAAAGCAAAGCAGCAGCAUGCAUA